AAAUUUUUAGUUUAUAAAAAACUUUUCAUUUACAUUGAAAUAAAAAUAUUAUUAUUAAAAUUUU
rnacentral:tRNA from 1 species